GCUCUGUUUAGAAAGAUUUUAGCAGAACCGUUUCCCACAAGUUAUCAAAAUGAUUGUGUCGACAAUUUUUCUCAGUUUGUUGCUGACUUUAUUAUCAUGUGUCCAGUCGGAGGUUGUUUUGACCCAGCCAGAGGCAGAGACUGGCCGUCCCGCAGGCAGCCUGAAACUGACGUGUAAAACCAGCGGGUUCGAUCUUAGCAGCUACACCAUGCACUGGGUCCGACAGGUUCCCGGACAGGGUCUGGAGUGGCUGCUUUGGCACUAUAGUUCAUCCAGCAGUAACUAUGCACCAGCGAUUAAGGGUCGAUUUACUGCGUCCAAAGACACUUCAAACAACAUUUUCGGGUUGGACAUGGAGAACCUGAAGAUCGAAGACACCGCCAUCUAUUACUGUGCAAGAGACGACAGCGAGAGGAACCAGGGCUGGAACCGUUCAAAAACAGCUCAAAG